GCGCAAAUCGACGAAUUCUGAACGGGGGAUGCUGUGCGCUCUAUGUGCUAAAAAUACCCAUAAGCGUAUAGCUUUUCCCAUUUAGCGUUCGUUACAUGCAAG
rnacentral:pre_miRNA from 1 species